UAAUGUCUGGGAAACUGCCUGAUGAGGGGGAGUAACUAACUGGAAACGGUAGCUAAUACCGCAUAAUGUCGCAAGACCAAAGUGGGGGACCUUCGGGCCUCAUGCCAUCAGAUGUGCCCAGAUGGGAUUAGCUAGUAGGUGGGGUAACGGCUCACCUAGGCGACGAUCCCUAGCUGGUCUGAGAGGAUGACCAGCCACACUGGAACUGAGACACGGUCCAG
rnacentral:rRNA from 1 species